UAGGGAAUCUUCGGCAAUGGACGAAAGUCUGACCGAGCAACGCCGCGUGAGUUAAGAAGGUUUUCGGAUCGUAAAACUCUGUUGUUAGAGAAGAACAAGGACGUUAGUAACUGAACGUCCCCUGACGGUAUCUAACCAGAAAGCCACGGCUAACUACGUGCCAGCAGCCUCGGUAAUACGUAGGUGGCAAGCGUUGUCCGGAUUUAUUGGGCGUAAAGCGAGCGCAGGCGGUUUCUUAAGUGUGAUAUGAAAGCCCCCGGCUCAACCGGGGAGGGUCAUUGGAAACUGGGAGACUUGAGUGCAGAAGAGGAGAGUGGAAUUCCAUGUGUAGAGGUGAAAUGCGUAGAUAGAUGGAGGAACACCAGUAGCGAAGGCGGCUCUCUGGUCUGUAACUGACGCUGAGGCUCGAAAGCGUGGGGAGCAAACAGG
rnacentral:rRNA from 1 species